rnacentral:rRNA from 1 species
GAUACACGCUGGCGGCGUGCCUAAUACAUGCAAGUCGAGCGAACAGACGAGGAGCUUGCUCCUCUGACGUUAGCGGCGGACGGGUGAGUAACACGUGGAUAACCUACCUAUAAGACUGGGAUAACUUCGGGAAACCGGAGCUAAUACCGGAUAAUAUAUUGAACCGCAUGGUUCAAUAGUGAAAGACGGUUUUGCUGUCACUUAUAGAUGGAUCCGCGCCGCAUUAGCUAGUUGGUAAGGUAACGGCUUACCAAGGCAACGAUGCGUAGCCGACCUGAGAGGGUGAUCGGCCACACUGGAACUGAGACACGGUCCAGACUCCUACGGGAGGCAGCAGUAGGGAAUCUUCCGCAAUGGGCGAAAGCCUGACGGAGCAACGCCGCGUGAGUGAUGAAGGUCUUCGGAUCGUAAAACUCUGUUAUUAGGGAAGAACAAAUGUGUAAGUAACUAUGCACGUCUUGACGGUACCUAAUCAGAAAGCCACGGCUAACUACGUG